rnacentral:tRNA from 1 species
GCCCCUAUAGCUCAGUUGGUUAGAGCAACGGACUUCAACAGAACACAAUGGAGCGCCAGCGUAGAAAUGCGCUGGAUGACCGCCGCUAUAUGCUGGAACGCCCUGAGAGCCCGAGGUACUCGCCGGAUGCUGGUCAUCUGGCAGUGAAAAUCCGAGGGAUUGGGUAAUCAGCAGGUAACCGCAAGGGAACCUCAGAGACUACACGCGGCGCACCUGACCGGUCAGGCCGAAGGUGAAGAUAUAGUCCAGACUGCAAGCCGGUAGAACGGUGGCGGGGGAAACCUCGUGCAGCAGGUUAAUCCGUGGGUCCAGGGUUCGAGUCCCUGUGGGGGCACCA